rnacentral:misc_RNA from 1 species
AACUUUUAGCAACGGAUCUCUUGGCUCUCGCAUCGACGAAGAACGCAGCGAAUUGCGAUAAGUAAUGUGAAUUGCAGAUUUUCAGUGAAUCAUCGAAUCUUUGAACGCACCUUGCGCCCCUUGGUUAUUCCUUGGGGCAUGCCUGUUUGAGUAUCAUGAACACCUCAACUCUCAUGGUCUUCCAUGACGAGCUUGGACUUUGGGGGUUUGCUGGCCCUGCGGCCGGCUCCCCUCAAAUGAAUCAGCCUCCCAGUGUUUGGUGGCAUCACGGGUGUGAUAAAUAUCUAUGCUCGCGGUUGUCUGCCAGGUAACCUUUGGUGACAAAGGUUUGCUGGAGCUCACAGAUGUCUCUCCUCAGCGAGGACAGCUUUUUGAACGUUCGAUCUCAAAUCAGGUAGGACUACCCGCUGAACUUAAGCAUAUCAAUAAGCGGAGGCU